UCUACAAUAUAUCUAUCCAUCUAUCUAUCUAUCUAUCUAUCUAUCUAUCUAUCUAUCUAUCUAUCUAUCUAUCUAUCUAUCUAUCUAUCUAUCUAUCUAUCUAUCUAUCUAUCUAUCUAUCUAUCUAUCUAUCUAUCUAUCUAUCUAUCUAUCUAUCUAUCUAUCUAUAUAGCCAAGCCAUUGGUAGGAUUUGUUGAGAUCAGCCACUUCAGUUAUGUUUCGGUGGUACAUCCCGUGUAAGGGCUUGUCCUCCCAUGAUGGUCCCUCUUCCAGCAUCUCAUCCUCUGUACAUGUACCACUGGAACAUAACUGAAGUGGCUGAUCUCAACAAAUCCUACCAAUGGCUUGAAAGGGCUGGGCUGAAGGACAGCACAGAGGCACUCAUCCUGGCUGCACAGGAGCAGGCCCUGAGCACCAGAGCCAUAGAGGCCCAGAUCUACCACACCAGACAAGACCCAAGGUGUAGACUGUGCAAAGAGGCCCCAGAGACGGUCCAGCACAUAACUGCAGGGUGUAAGAUGCUGGCAGGCAAAGCAUACAUGGAACGCCAUAACCAAGUGGCUUGCAUAGUAUACAGGAACAUCUGCGCGGAGUAUGGACUGGAAACCCCAAGGUCAAAGUGGGAAACACCUCCCAAGGUGGUAGAGAACGAGCGAGCCAAGAUCCUGUGGGACUUCCAGAUCCAGACUGACAGAAUGGUAAUGGCAAACCAACCAGACAUUGUGGUGGUGGAUAAAGAGCAGAGGAAAGCCAUAGUGGUGGAUGUGGCAAUACCAAGCGAUGGCAACAUCAGGAAAAAGGAACAUGAGAAACUAGAGAAAUACCAAGGGCUCAGAGAAGAACUGGAGAAGGCUUGGAAGGUGAAGGCCACAGUGGUGCCUGUGGUGAUCGGAGCACUAGGGGCUGUGACCCCCAAACUGGAGGAGUGGCUACUACAGAUCCCUGGAAAAACAUCCGAAAUCUCAGUCCAGAAAAGUGCAGUCCUAGGAACAGCAAGGAUACUGCGCAGAACCCUCAAGCUCCCUGGCCUCUGGUAGAGGACCCGAGCUUGGAAAGUGGAUGAGACCACCCGCGGAGGGUGAGAAUAGAGUGUGUAUAUAUUUAUAUACUGUAUAUCAGG
rnacentral:lncRNA from 1 species